rnacentral:rRNA from 1 species
UACGUAGGGCACAAGCAUUGUCCGGAAUUAUUGGGCGUAAAGAGCUCGUAGGCGGCUUGUCGCGUCGAUUGUGAAAGCCCGGGGCUUAACUCCGGGUCUGCAGUCGAUACGGGGCUAGCUAGAGUGUGGUAGGGGGAGAUCGGAAUUCCUGGUGUAGCGGUGAAAUGCGCAGAUAUCAGGAGGAACACCGGUGGCGAAGGCGGAUCUCUGGGCCAUUACUGACGCUGAGGAGCGAAAGCGUGGGGAGCGAACAGG